CCAAGGCCAUAUCCAUGAGCUCAUCAUAAUCCCUGUCCUUUUUUUUUCAAAUCUCAAAAGGUAUGAGGAAGAAAUCAACAAGCGCACAACUGCUGAGAAUGAAUUUGUCCUGUUGAAAAAGGAUGUAGAUUUAGCCUAUAUGAACAAGAUGGAGCUGAAGACCAGGACAGCUUCUCUGGAUAAGGAGGUCGAUUUCUUGAGAUC
rnacentral:lncRNA from 11 species